GACGAACGCUGGCGGCGUGCUUAACACAUGCAAGUCGAGCGGUAAGGCCCUUUCGGGGGUACACGAGCGGCGAACGGGUGAGUAACACGUGGGUGACCUGCCCUCAGCUCUGGGAUAAGCCUGGGAAACCGGGUCUAAUACUGGAUAUGACUCCAUGACGCAUGUUGUGGGGUGGAAAGCCUUGUGCGGCUGAGGAUGGGCCCGCGGCCCAUCAGCUUGUUGGUGGGGUGANGGCCUACCAAGGCGACGACGGGUAGCCGGCCUGAGAGGGCGACCGGCCACACUGGGACUGAGACACGGCCCAGACUCCUACGGGAGGCAGCAAGUGGGGAAUCUUGCGCAAUGGGCGAAAGCCUGACGCAGCGACGCCGCGUGAGGGAUGACGGCCU
rnacentral:rRNA from 1 species